rnacentral:lncRNA from 1 species
GUGGUUUGAUUCUGAAAUUCAUGCAUAUGUAAAUCAUCAACAUGCAAAAAUAAUGCAAUAAGAUUGGUACCUAUUUAUGACUUAUUUAUUGCUGGUUCAUUUCAUUGUCAAAAUCAAAUGUAUUGUCGGUAUGCAGAGCAGUUUUGACUUCUUGCAGAAAGUGAAUAAGUCUGGCCUUCCCUUUUGAUUUCACUUCCUGCUGAUACAUUUUUUUUAUGGUAAUCGGCUUGGGUCUGUAAUUUGAUUUAAAAGUU